UAUAGGACAUAUAUAUAUAAUAUUUCAGCAAAUUUAGGAAGAUCUGUUGUCUCAAAAUUAAAAAUAAUAAUUUUAAUCUAAAUUGAACAUGCUGAAUAACUAUUUAUUCCUAGUCAAACAUUAUUUUCUGUGGCAAGUCCAACCUUCUUACAGUGCUUUUUUUAUAUAAACAGUGAACAAAUUGAACGGCAAUUGAUAAAGCAAAAAAAUGUCUCUAUUAGGUCUUCAUUUCAGAAAAAUUGUGAUGUCUCCCAAACAAAUACAAAUGUAUACAUAAACAUAACAAAGCAUACAAUACCAUCACAUUCAUAGUUUUACAUUUUUUUUGUGGAUAUUUGAUUUUGUAGUUUUACCAAAGUAUGCAUACAAGCUAUAGAACAGUUGUUAUUCUCUGAAAAUAUGAAUUCAUGUGGUUCAACUCUACACACGAAAUCUAUAAAAAUU
rnacentral:lncRNA from 1 species